rnacentral:ncRNA from 1 species
ACACUCUGGAGAAUCCCGGUAUAGCCGGGUGCCGAAGGUGCAAAGGGAGCAGCCCUGCCCCCGAAUCUCUCAGGCAAAAGGACAGAGCCG